rfam:Schistosoma mansoni strain Puerto Rico chromosome 4, complete genome
AUUCAGCUGACGAGUCCCAAAUAGGACGAAACGCGCAUCCUGGAU